UAUAAAUUAAGAUAAAAAAUAAGUCUUUCUUAAACUUUAAGUUGGAGAAAUAUAUAGAAAAAGUGGACAGACACAGUGUUAGGCGACCAGAAAAAAAAUGACUGCCUUUUUCUAAAAUUAAAACUGAAGCCGAGUUGAAUACAAAAGAGGAUAUUAAUAGGAGAGCUAGACGCUUGUUAAAUAAGUUAACUCCGGAUAAAUAUGAUAUUGUUGAACAGUUAUUAAAGCUUCCUUUUCUUGAGCUACCU